GAGUUGUGUUGGUUUAUGCUGUCAUUUUCUGUAGAAACAUUCCGAACUCGUUGAUUUCUUCGGUUUUUGUGUCGAUUUUAUCGUGUUAAUUGUAAAAAACGUGUAUAUGUUUAGUUUUUAGGUGUUGUUAAAAAUGACGGAGACAGUGACAGAUCAACAACAGUACGAAGCGGGCGAGGCCGUCCUCGGACAGUCGUUCGUUUCGUACGCCAAUUAUAACUUUGAAAACUCAGCUUUAGAAUUAGCACGGUGUCAGUGGUCAAAUUAUGCCGAUCAACAUUACCUCAAAGGGUGUAAAUGGUCGCCCGAUGGGACUUGUCUUCUGACAGUGGUACGAGGAGCUGGAAUGCAUGUCAUGGAACUGCCCACCGAUCUCUACUCUGGAGAAACGAUCAUGAACAGUCGACCUAUUGUGGCGCUCAGCCCUGCAGUCAGUGUACCAGAGAGCGGCCUCAUUUACGACUAUUGUUGGUAUCCAGGGAUGAAUAGUGCAAAUCCAGCAACUUGUUGUUGGUUAUCGAGUGGUCAUGAAGGCCCAAUCCAUUUAUGGGACGCUUUCACUGGAAAUUUGCGGUGUUCAUACAGAGGGUACAACAAUGUCGAUGAACUGGAAGCUGCAAUAAGCGUAACUUUUUCAGCUGAUGGUCAGAAUGUAUUUUGUGGUUACAAGAAGAAUGUUAAAAUUUUUAGUACCGGUCGACCGGGACGGGAGUUUGUCGAGUAUCCAACGACGCAUCCUGCUUCCUGUUUGGUGGCUAGUCAGGCUCAGCCCGGCGUUGUAGCAAUAGGUACUUGGAAGAAUACGAUAGAAUUGGUAGCUCAAAGCGACGGCUCAUUUCGUCACCUGUGCAAGUUGCAAGGGCAUAGAGGGGGCAUCACAUCGAUGGCAUUCUCACUGGACGGCUUCCGUUUGUACAGCGGCGCAAGAAAGGACAAAGAGAUCAUCUGCUGGGAUCUACGAGUACCAGGUCGACCAAUGUUCUGUUUGACCCGAGAAGCAAAUACCAACCAAAAAAUCAGUAUUGACCUGUCCAUGUGUGGCAACUGGCUCGUCUCAGGGGGGACGGAUGGUAAGGUGCAAGUUUGGAAUGUUCACGAUAGUACCUAUCCAAGCGUUCACAUGCAGGUGCGUACCCAUUAUAAUUACCCCUUAUAUAAUUAUUUCAUGUUUUCAGUAUCAAAUUUAGUCACUUUUGUAUUGAAUCAAAUUUUAUUAAAUAACACUAAAAAUCAUUUUGUCUUUGUUUGUUACACCAACACUUACAGAUUCCCAGGACUAUAAACUUUGUCUCAUUUUAUUUUCACUCUUUGUUUUAUUAUAUUUUUCUUUAAUUUUAUCUAAAAUAAAUUAAAGUGAGGUCCUUAGGAACAGUGACAAAUUCAUCUUUUGAUGCCUCUUCAUAGUGACAGUUGCAACGGUGUAAGUUUACAUCCUUACCGACCGAUUCUUGCAACCGCUACUGGACAGCAUCAUCCUCUAGACCCUCUUCACCAUACAAGAACUGCUAUGGUUUACGAAAAUGCACUA